rnacentral:rRNA from 1 species
UACCCGCUGAACUUAAGCAUAUCAAUAAGCGGAGGAAAAGAAACCAACAGGGAUUGCCUCAGUAACGGCGAGUGAAGCGGCAACAGCUCAAAUUUGAAAUCUGACCCCUUCGGGGCCCGAGUUGUAAUUUGUAGAGGAUGCUUCGGGUGCGGCGCCGGUCUAAGUUCCUUGGAACAGGACGUCAUAGAGGGUGAGAAUCCCGUAUGCGACCGGCGGUCAACCCCAUGUGAAGCCCCUUCGACGAGUCGAGUUGUUUGGGAAUGCAGCUCAAAAUGGGUGGUAAAUUUCAUCUAAAGCUAAAUACCGGCCAGAGACCGAUAGCGCACAAGUAGAGUGAUCGAAAGAUGAAAAGCACUUUGGAAAGAGAGUCAAACAGUACGUGAAAUUGUUGAAAGGGAAGCGCUUGCAACCAGACCUGCCCCCGGGCGAUCAGCCGUUAUUUUUAGCGGUGCACUCGUCCGCGAUCAGGCCAGCAUCGGUUCGGGCGGCCGGAUAAAGGCCUCGGGAAUGUAGCUCCCCCCGGGGAGUCUUAUAGCCCGAGGUGCAAUGCGGCCAGCCCGGACCGAGGACCGCGCUUCGGCUAGGAUGCUGGCGUAAUGGUUGUAAGCGACCCGUCUUGAAACACGGACC